rnacentral:lncRNA from 1 species
UUGCUUGGGUGAAUAGAAAUGAAGAAACACAAAAGAAAGCUGCCAAUUGGAUAUGGGUAUUGUAGCUGAAACGUCUUGCGAGCUGAGUCAGGGUCGGGGAAGCUGUGAUGGCAAUGAGAAGUCAACACACUGAGGAUGGAGAGAAAGAAGAUGAGUCUGGGAGAGAAAGAGAAUGAUUCUUCUGGCCGAGGGAAAGCAAGAAUAUCUGUUCCUGCAACUGCACUGAUUCUAGAAACACUCUCUAUUCGAACUCUCAUGAGAUGAAAAAACUGAGGUAUAGGAUGAUACAACUGGGCCAGGCAUGGUGGCUCACAUCUGUAAUACCAGCACUUUGGGAGGCCAAGGGAGGAGGAUCACUUGAACCCAGGUGUUUGAGACCAGCCUGAGAAAAACAGGAAGAACUCAUCUCUACAAAAAAAUUAUCUAGUGCUGACCUGCUUGGUGAAUGCUGGGAUCUCUGGAAGAGGGAGGCAGACAUCACACACCAGCUGGCAAGUGGGAGCUGGCAUGCAACAUGCCCCAAUACCACUCCCCU